CCGGCGACCGGCGCACGGGUGAGUAACACGUAUGCGACCUGCCCCCCGCAGGGGGAUAACCGGGAGAAAUCCCGACUAAUACCGCGUAACGCCGCGGACCUGCAUGGGUCUGCGGCCAAAGGAAGCGAUUCCGGCGGGGGAUGGGCAUGCGGCGCAUAGCUAGUCGGCGGGGUAACGGCCCACCGAGGCGACGAUGCGUAGGGGUUCUGAGAGGAAGGUCCCCCACACUGGUACUGAGACACGGACCAGACUCCUACGGGAGGCAGCAG
rnacentral:rRNA from 1 species